rnacentral:misc_RNA from 1 species
GUUCGAGCGUCAUUUCAACCCUCAAGCUUAGCUUGGUAUUGAGUCCAUGUCAGCAAUGGCAGGCUCUAAAACCAGUGGCGGCGCCGCUGGGUCCUGAGCGUAGUAAUAUCUCUCGUUACAGGUUCUCGGUGUGCUUCUGCCAAAACCCAAAUUUUUCUAAGGUUGACCUCGGAUCAGGUAGGGAUACCCGCUGAACUUAA